rnacentral:tRNA from 1 species
UCCUGGGUGGCUCAGUGGUAAAGAAUCUGCCUGCCAAGCAGGAGAUACAGGUUCAAUCCCUGGAUCAGGAA